UAAUACGUAGGGUGCGAGCGUUAAUCGGAAUUACUGGGCGUAAAGCGUGCGCAGGCGGCGCCAUAAGACAGAUGUGAAAUCCCCGGGCUUAACCUGGGAACUGCGUUUGUGACUGUGGUGCUCGAGUGCGGCAGAGGGGGGUGGAAUUCCACGUGUAGCAGUGAAAUGCGUAGAGAUGUGGAGGAACACCGAUGGCGAAGGCAGCCCCCUGGGUCGACACUGACGCUCAUGCACGAAAGCGUGGGGAGCAAACAGG
rnacentral:rRNA from 1 species